AGUGAACGCUGGCGGCGUGCCUAAUACAUGCAAGUCGAACGGAGUGGCGCACGGGUGAGUAAUAUAUAGCUAAUCUGCCCCUUGCGGGAGGACAAAAGUCAGAAAUGACUGCUAAUACCCCAUAGCAAGGGAUGAGACUAUAUCGUAUCAGCUAGUCGGUGGGGUAACGGCCUACCUAGGCUAUGACGCGUAACUGGUCUGAGAGGAUGAUCAGUCAAAUUGGAACUGAGGCACGGUUCAAACUCCUAGCGGAAGCAGCAGUAGGGGAUAUUGGGCAAUGGGCGUGACCCUGACGCGGCAACGCCGCGUGGAGGAUGACACUUUUCGGAGCGUAAACUCCUUUUGUUAGGGAAGCGGUACCUAACGAAUAAGCACCGGCUAACUCCGUGCCAGCAGCCGCGGUAAUAC
rnacentral:rRNA from 1 species